rnacentral:lncRNA from 1 species
UUUUGGGGCUAGAAGUUGCGGACUAGUAGCUGAGGCGGCACGGGAGUGUAGGCGCGCGGGGUCGUUGCCGGGGGCACAGAGUGAGAACAAGCAAGGGAGCCCUGCUGAAUUGCAGCUUAGGAAGCCCUGAAUCCUGGAGAUAUGUUCCUGACCCUUCCUUCUUGAAGGGACAGCUGUGUAACCAUUCAACCAUCUGGCCAUCAGUUUCCACAUCUGUGAAAUCAACUUCUGCCUCAUGGAGCCGUGAGUUCCCAAGUGAAGGCAGUGAGGGGCUGUGGUGUGAUCCAGGAGGCUGAGAAUUAUGCAGUGGGUGCUGUCACCUUGAAGACAUCAGCGUGAUCAGGCAGAUCAUCAUGGUACUGCAUUUCCUGGACACGAUCUUAAUUUUCUUAAUACCUCCACCGACAUUUCAAAUAGCGUCUCUAAUGCCCCAGAGACUUUUAUGCCCCUAAGGUAGUUUUCUUUCUUUUGUGAAGCAGAAGAAGGGAAAUUGUUAAAGGGAAUAUUUUAACUAAAUUUAUUUCCAUAAAACUAUCUUUGUCUUUAUAUCUCAUGGAAAGUGUUAGGUAGCCUCAGGAUUAUAUCUCCGUUGGAAAACUGUAGAUGUAAACCUUCUUGCUAUCUACAUACUUACAUAUUUUUCUGUUGUUAUUUACUUAUGAAUAGCAUUUUGAUUAUAGCAGAAAUAAAAUACAUUAAAUGACUAAGCUCAGAAAUAAGAAAAAAAGGUCAAUGGUGAUCAUUUAUUUGGAAACUAUGAUAUUUUAAUGAUAUUAAUGGUGUAAUUGACAUUUAGUUAAACAUAUUUCAUCGUAAGUAGAGCACUUUAACUCUUACGGUCCACUUAAAAUGUAAUCAUACGUUUAUGUAUUUCUAGUUAAUGUAUCAAACUCAACUGAGUAAUCAAUGUACAUCAUUUAUUUUGCUCCUAAGUUAAUACACUAAGUUAUGCUUUAAAAUUACUAAUUUGCUGCAAUAUCCAAUACUCUCUUUUAAGUCUUACGUCUGCAGAAAAGGAUAUAAACAUUUCAUGACACCAAACCCAAGUAUUUUUGAUGCCCUUGGCAGUGUCAGUUGAACAGACAGUGUCAUUUAAUGUUUGAGACAGCAUCUGAAUUCCUUUUAUUCUUAAAAUUCUAUUUUAAAAUGCAGUUUUUGGAAAGUUAAUGUGAAUAGAAAAAUUUCUAACAUUUUAUGUGCAUGUGUUUUGUUUGUUACAGGCUUAGCAUCUCAAAUCUGAAAAUUCGAAAUCUGAAAUGUUUCUAAAAUUCAACUCUUUUGAGUGCUGAUAUGACUUUCAAAGGAAAAGCUCAUUGGAGCAUUUCAGAUUUUGGAUUUUUGGAUUUGGGAUGUUUAACCAGGGUAAAAUAUAGAAUGCAAAUAUUCCAAAAUCUGAAUAAAAUUGAAAUCUGAAAUGCUUAUGGUUCCAAGCAUUUUGGAUAAGGGAUAAUUAAGCUGUAUAACUUAUAAAACUGAAUAUAACAAAAUUUCCCAACAUGUGGAAAAUGAUGUCUUUUUUCAAAAAUGUCAAUAGCAGAUACAUGGUACAGUAAGUUAGGGGAAAAAAUGAGGUUUCAUAUCUUCUAGUUUCCUAAUUAAAAGGAGCCCAUUCUGGGUUGGAAGAAAGUGUCAGUAAGAUCAUUUCUCCUAUUUGAAAAUCAUACAAAGCUUGUCAGAGUGACUCAGGCCAGGAGUGUAGCUGGGCGUGUAGCUAAAUGAUAUCUCCCCACAUCUAUAUAAUAAGCUGUUACCUGCUUUAAAAGGAAAAGCUCUCAGCAUGACUCUAAUGUUGCAUUUCUGGAAUACAGCUUGAAAAGCUCUUCUCAGGGUUGAACAGAGCAUGAAGGUAAUGGUUAUUAUCUACUCACAUUAAAAAAAAAAAAAAAGAAAGAAACCACCACAGAAAACUACUUACUGUCUUUAGGCUCUACUUUCAAAAGUGCCCUUUAUGAACGCUUUUACACUGUUGAUGGGAGUGUAAAUUAGUUCAACCAUUGUGGAAGACAGUGUGGUGAUUCCUCAAGGAUCUAGAAUCAGAAAUACCAUUUGACCCAGCAAUCCCAUUACUGGGUAUAUACCCAAAGGAUUAUAAAUCAUUCUAUUAUAAAGACACAUGCACACGUAUGUUUAUUGCAGCACUGUUCACAAUAGCAAAGACUUGGAACCAACCCAAAUGCCCAUCAAUGAUAGACUGGAUAAAGAAAUUGUGGCACAUACACACCAUGGAAUACUAUGCAGCCAUAAUAAAAGAUGAGUUCAUGUCCUUUGCAAGGACAUGGACAAAGCUGGAAACCAUCAUUCUCAGCAAACAAGAACAGAAAAUCAAACACUGCAUGUUCUCAGUCUAAGUGGGAGCUGAACAAUGAGAAAACAUGGACACAGAGAGGGGAACAUCACACACUGGGCCUGUUGGGGGGUAGGGGGCUAGGGGAGGGAUAGCAUUAGGAGAAAUACCUAAUGUAAAUGACAGGUUAAUGGGUGCAGCAAACCACCAUGGCAUGUGUAUACCUAUGUAACAAACCUGCAUGUUCUGCACAUGUAUCCCAGAACUUAAAGUAUAAAUAAAUAAAUGAAUAAAUAAAUAAAUUUUAAAAAGUG